UGUGUAUUCUGAUAUUUGAUCUUUACUCUUGUUCAUAUUCUUGACUUUGAUCCAUUAAUUUGGAAGGAUACUGAUAAAAUGCUGCAUCGAUGGAGUAUUCCCCUUUUAACUUCAUGGAAUCAUUUUAACUCCAAAGUUAUACAUUUUCUGUUGUUCAAUCAUUAACAUUUUUUUGGCAUAUGUUACAUUUUUAGUAUUUUUUUUAUAGUAGAUUGAUGUUUGCUUAAAGUAUUCAUCAUAAGAACCGGAUGAAUAUUGUAUGCAGGAAGCAAAAAACAGCGAGAACAUGCCACAUUUUUGUUAUCAGCAAUUGCUUUUUUGCUUUCUUUACGUUAUUAGUAUGAGUUGCUGCUUACUUCAUUUGAUGUUUGCUUUUGCAUUAAGUCAUAUUGUGCUUUUGUCUCUUUGAAGCUUGUUUUCUUCCAAAAUUAUAUGAAUCCUUGAAGAUAAUCUGGUUAAAUAUCUUUUAAGCCGGGAUUUUAUACUUAGGUUAUGUCACCAAAGAAGCAAUGCCAAAAGAAGGCUGAGGUAUAUGCUUCGAAGCAUGACUUGCCCCACGAUUUCAUUGGCAAGCAAAGCUUUGUUACUCGAACUCGAUUCUGAGUAUCGGAAAUGAGGUGGAAUCAGCAGAUGAGUUGGAUUAGAUUCUCUAACCCUGCAAUUAUCUAGAUAUACUUAAGUUAAUUAGAGUGCUAGUAUCCGAUACUAAUAUGUAUCUAACAUAGGCAUGUUUAAUAUUUCCUAAAUGUUUCCAUGUAUAUAGGUCAUACCCCACGGCCAUAUACAUGUUCAGAUAUGUAUCCAACACGAAUUUCCCCCCCACCGUAAAUAUACAGUAACCGACAGAUUUUGGUGUAAUAUCAGAUGCUUGAAAGUCUUCGCCAUCGUAGUCUAGUACUGUGUGCGUCCAGUUAUAGCUAGUGACCAUAAUAGUUUAGUUUACACUGUGGAUGGUGUUAAUUGUAGUUGACUGAUAGGUUUUCUGUGUGUCCAUCAAAGUUUUUGCUGUUGUACACUGAUAAUGCAGGCUAGGCUUGCGUUAUUCGGAUCAAAUUCGAAGCAACAAGGGGAACGCAGCUGUCCGGUUGUGCGAAUCAUCCACGUUUGAAUCGUUGCCGUAGUCAUGUGAUUUACUUUGAAUAUGACUGGUGGAUGGAGGCUAGUGAAAGAAACUCUUCACCCUGCUAUGGUUAAAGUUGACCAUUCAUUUUUGGACAGAAAUUCCAGCAGUCAGGAAUGAAAACAUGUUCUUCAAUUUGCUUUCCGGCAGUUGAUUCUGAUUUCCCCAGAAUUUCCUGUAAGAGGUUUAAUGUUUCCCAUC